rnacentral:rRNA from 1 species
GAAGCGGCGGCCGGGUUAGUUAUGCCCUAGGAAAUUCCCUUGAUGUGGGGGAUAACCAUUGAAACGAUGGCUAAUACCGCAUGAUGCCUACGGGCCAAAGAGGGGGACCUUCGGGCCUCUCGCGUCAAGAUAUGCCUAGGUGGGAUUAGCUAGUUGGUGAGGUAAUGGCUCACCAAGGCGACGAUCCCUAGCUGGUCUGAGAGGAUGAUCAGCCACACUGGAACUGAGACACGGUCCAGAGUCCUACGGGAGGCAGCAGUGGGGAAUAUUGCACAAUGGGCGCAAGCCUGAUGCAGCCAUGCCGCGUGUAUGAAGAAGGCCUUCGGGUUGUAAAGUACUUUCAGUUGUGAGGAAGGGUGUGUAGUUAAUAGCUGCACAUCUUGACGUUAGCAACAGAAGAAGCACCGGCUAACUCCGUGCCAGCAGCCGCGGUAAUACGGAGGGUGCGAGCGUUAAUCGGAAUUACUGGGCGUAAAGCGCAUGCAGGUGGUUCAUUAAGUCAGAUGUGAAAGCCCGGGGCUCAACCUCGGAACUGCAUUUGAAACUGGUGAACUAGAGUACUGUAGAGGGGGGUAGAAUUUCAGGUGUAGCGGUGAAAUGCGUAGAGAUCUGAAGGAAUACCAGUGGCGAAGGCGGCCCCCUGGACAGAUACUGACACUCAGAUGCGAAAGCGUGGGGAGCAAACAGGAUUAGAUACCCUGGUAGUCCACGCCGUAAACGAUGUCUACUUGGAGGUUGUGGCCUUGAGCCGUGGCUUUCGGAGCUAACGCGUUAAGUAGACCGCCUGGGGAGUACGGUCGCAAGAUUAAAACUCAAAUGAAUUGACGGGGGCCCGCACAAGCGGUGGAGCAUGUGGUUUAAUUCGAUGCAACGCGAAGAACCUUACCUACUCUUGACAUCCAGAGAAUCCAGCGGAGACGCAGGAGUGCCUUCGGGAGCUCUGAGACAGGUGCUGCAUGGCUGUCGUCAGCUCGUGUUGCGAAAUGUUGGGUUAAGUCCCGCAACAAGCGCAACCCUUAUCCUUGUUUGCCAGCAAG